rnacentral:ncRNA from 1 species
UGGUCCCAGCCUUAAGAUCAGUUGUUACUCGAUAUACACAUGCAAGUCUCCGCACCCCUGUGAAUAACGCCCUCAUAUCCCUGUAAGGAGUAAGGAGCCGGUAUCAGGCACAAAAUAAGCCCAAGACACCUAGCCAUGCCACACCCACACGGGACUUCAGCAGUGAUUAAUAUUGAAAAUAAGCGACAGCUUGAAUCAGUUAGAGUAAAUAGAGCCGGCAAAUCUGGUGCCAGCCGCCGCGGUUACACCAUGUGGCUCAAACUGAUCUCUUUCGGCGUAAAGCGUGAUUAAAGUACACUCUAACUGCAAUCAAACUAGAAUUAAGCUGUAGUACGCUUAUUACUAGGAAGCCCAAAAACGAAAGUUAUUGCAACCCUAAUAACUUGAACUCACGACAGCCAGAAAACAAACUAGGAUUAGAUACCCUACUAUGCCUGGCCGUAAACUUUCAUUUACAACCUCAUCGCCUGGGAACUACGAGCAAAGCUUAAAACCCAAGGGACUUGACGGUACCCCAUAUCCCCCUAGAGGAGCCUGUCCUAUAAUCGAUGAUCCCCGUUUAACCUCACCAUUUUUAGCUUAUCAGCCUGUAUACCUCCGUCGUCAGCUUACCCCCUGAGCGUCAAUCAGUAAGCUAAAUGCCCCUACGCCAAUACGUCAGGUCAAGGUGCAGCUUAUAAAAUGGGAAGAGAUGGGCUACAUUAUCUAAUUUAGAUAACACGAAAAACUAUACAUGAAAAAUAGUUAGAAGGCGGAUUUAGAAGUAAGAAAAGACCAAAAUGCUUUUCUUAACCUGGCACUGGGGUGUGUACACACCGCCCGUCACCCUCUUCGAAGCAUUAAUACAGUUUUUAACGCAAUCUAGCGCCCGAGAAGAGGUAAGUCGUAACAUGGUAAGCGUACCGGAAGGUGUGCUUGGAAA